rnacentral:rRNA from 1 species
UACGGGGGGGGCAAGCGUUGUUCGGAAUUACUGGGCGUAAAGGGCUCGUAGGUGGCCAACUAAGUCAGACGUGAAAUCCCUCGGCUUAACCGGGGAACUGCGUCUGAUACUGGAUGGCUAGAGAUUGGGAGAGGGAUGCGGAAUUCCAGGUGUAGCGGUGAAAUGCGUAGAUAUCUGGAGGAACACCGGUGGCGAAGGCGGCAUCCUGGACCAACACUGACACUGAAGAGCGAAAGCCAGGGGAGCAAACGGG